rnacentral:lncRNA from 10 species
GGCCUGUGACAAAUGCUUUCCAAAACCCCUGGCCUUCAUAAUCCUUACCAUUUGGUGAUCAGAGCUGACCCUGCUGGUCUGUGAUGCAGUAAUGAGGGGGGUGAGCCCCAAAUGAGGAAAUAGGGUCUCAAAGCAAGGGCCAAUAUCUUGCCUAGUAAUGUGGAGUCUAGACAGGAACUAGGAUUGUCUGACUUGGGAACUCACACUUUGAUUCACUUAGGUCCCCACACAGCUUGAUGAUCUUCUGUGCAAUUUUUUUUUUGUUUUGAGAUGGAGUCUCGCUCUGUCGGCCAGGCUGGAGGGCAGUGGCACGAUCUCGGCUCAUUACAACCUCCGCCUCCCGGGUUUACGCCAUUCUCCUGCCUCGGCCUCCUGAGUAGCUGGGACUACAGGUGCCAACCACCACGCCUGGCUAAUUUUGUUUUUUCGUAUUUUUAGUAGAGAUGGGGUUUCACCGUGUUAGCCAGGAUGGUCUCGAUCUCCUGACCUCGUGAUCCACCUGCCUUGGCCUCCCAAAGUGCUGGGAUUAUAGGCGUGAGCCACUGCGCCCGACCUUCUUGGAGUGACUUCUAAAUGGCUACAUUAUGAAAGAUGGCCCUGGAGUUGUCUGAUAUUUGCAAGAGCUCUCCAGUCUUCCAGCCCUGCCUCUUUCCCCUCCUUUUAAAAACUCUAGACUUGACGCACACCUGCAAGGUCUUCCUCGGCCCCUCCUCUGAUGUCUGAAACAGCCCUUCACACGUCAGUGGCCCAAGUGGCUGCCUUAUGGAUGACAGAGUUGCUGAGGUGAAAGUAGCUCAUGGCGCGAGAUCCAGCACCUUCUGCAGUAUGGUCAUCCUUGUUACUGGGGCUGAUAGGAUCUGAUGGGAAGAACUCAGCUGUGUCCACCGUCAUUUUGACAGGAGACAUCCUUUUAACUUCAUGAAGCCCCACAUGAUCUGGCCUCUGCCUCUCUGUGAUCACCUCCGCCCUCUCCUCCACCUCACUGGUUCCACCCACACUGACGUCCCUCCUGUCCCAGCCAUUCCUUUUGCUUGGAGUGCUUGUCCCUCUGAUCUUAGCAACAGUGAUUCUCAUCACUCCAUUGUCAGCUUAGUGAUCCCCUCUUCCGAGAGGGCUCUCCUGACCACCCCUUCUAAAGUGGUUCCCAUUCACUCCUUAGCACAUUUUCUUCUUUAAACUUUUGCAGAGCUUUUUUCACCAAUGAUUUUUUUUGUUUACUUAAGUAGUUGCUUGUUUAUUGACUAUCUCUUCCAGCAAUUGAUAAGCCCCAUGAAAGCAGGGGUCCUGUCUAUCUUAUUCCCCCAAAUUGUAGAACAGAGCCAGGCACAUAGUUGGCAUUCAACAGAUAUUUGCUGAAUAGGUGAAUGGAUCAUUUGCUCAACAAGCACUUAUAAAUGCUCCUUGGUAGACAUUAUGGAAUUCAGAAAUUUGAAGCCGGGUACACAGUAGGUUCUCAGUAAAUGCUGGUGCCAGCAUUGCUUUCUUGCAGAUCAGUGGUCAGCCCAGGGAGACCAGACCCACUCCCCUGGCUAUUUCCUUGUAUUACCUCUUGGUGAAUGGCAGCAACAGCUCCCUGGGAGACACUAUAAGGAUGUUUAGGACACAGUACCCUGUGCAAAGGGAGUGCUCAUUUACAUGCAUUUAUCCAUUUUAUUCACUAACCAGUACUCACAUAGUACUGUCAAGAAUUCUGAAUCUGAGACUUUAUCUUACUGGCAAGCUAACAAGUUUGCCUGCCACCAUUUCAUUCUGAUAGAAGAUAGGAGACUCUUGGGUCAGAGAGGAAGGAUAGUUUAUCACUCACAGCAAUUGCAGAGUAUUAGCAUCUUUUUAGUGAUACCUCAAGCCCUGACUUCCGCAGAGUGACACAAAGAGGGCCUGAUGACACCUGCAUGCUCAGUGAGUUACAUGAGGGGAGCCCUGAGCUUAGGGAACUUGACUAUAAUGGACAGUCUGUCUGCUCUUUGCUCUGGAGGGAGACACCAUCUCUAUCUUCCAGAGUUGUUUGAUAUACAUGUCUUUGAAAAGGUAGUCCAGAACAAAGAGCAGUCAGUGCAUCUGCUCACAAGAUGUGCAGAAAUGCUUGGGACCUGUGGAGAAUUGCCUCACAACAAGAAGCCUAGGAGGCCCUCAGAUUUGUUGAAUGAAUGAAUGAAUGCCAGGUGUUGCAUGCAGCAUUAUAUAGUUAAAUAAGACAUAGUUUCUGUCAUUAGAGUUCAUGUCUUCUUGGCCGGGUGUGGUGGCUCACACUUGUCAUCCCAGCCCUUUGGGAGGCUGAGGGGGGUGGAUCACAAGGUCAGGAGAUCGAGACCAUCCUGGCUAACAUGGUGAAACUCCGUCUCUACUAAAGAAUACAAAAAAUUAGCCGGGCAUGUUGGCGGGUGCCUGUAGUCCCAGUUACUCGGGAGGCUGAGGUAGGAGAAUAGUGUGAACCCAGGAGGUGGAGCUUGCAGUGAGCCGA